rnacentral:misc_RNA from 1 species
GGCUUGCAAACUAGAAGUUCGACUCGUAGAAGAGCCGCUGUGGACAAGGAUGCCCAAAUGAAGCCAGUAAAUGGAGAGACUACAUCUGAGGAUGAAGAAUUGGACCUAUCCUCCAUCCAGAUUGAUGAUUCUUUAGUGAUUGAGGAUGAUGAUAUUUCUGAUGAUGAAGAUGAUGACCAUGAUGAUGUGCUGCAGGAUGACUCUCUUCCUCUUUGUAUGCCUGAGAAGGUGCAUGAUGUCAAAUUGGG